rnacentral:rRNA from 1 species
CAUGCCGCGUGCAGGACGAAGGCGCUAUGCGUCGUAAACUGCUUUUAUACGGGAAGAAUCUCUCUGAUUCGUUCAGGGACUGACGGUACUGUAAGAAUAAGGAUCGGCUAACUCCGUGCCAGCAGCCGCGGUAAUACGGAGGAUCCAAGCGUUAUCCGGAUUUAUUGGGUUUAAAGGGUGCGUAGGCGUCCUUGUAAGUUAUAGUUGAAAUCUCCGCGCUUAACGCGGAAACCGGCUGUAAAACUGCAGGGAUUGAGUAUAGUGGAGGUGGGCGGAAUGUGUCAUGUAGCGGUGAAAUGCAUAGAUAUGACACAGAACACCGAUUGCGAAGGCAGCUCGCUACACUAUUACUGACGCUGAGGCACGAAAGCGUGGGGAUCAAACAGGAUUAGAUACCCUGGUAGUCCACGCCCUAAACGAUGAUUACUCGAUGUGUGCGAUAUACAGUACGCGUCUAAGCAAAAGCAUUAAGUAAUCCACCUGGGGAAUACGGUCGCAAGAUUGAAACUCAAAGGAAUUGACGGGGGCCCGCACAAGCGGAGGAGCAUGUGGUUUAAUUCGAUGAUACGCGAGGAACCUUACCUGGGCUUGAAAGUUAGCGAAUGAUCUGGAAACAGGUCAGCC